rnacentral:tRNA from 1 species
AGUAAAAUCAGCUAAUAAAGCUUUUGGGCCCAUACCCCAGAAAUGUUGGUUAAAAUCCUUCUUUUACUA